UACGGGGGGUGCAAGCGUUGUUCGGAUUUACUGGGCGUAAAGGGCGCGUAGGCGGCGCAACAAGUCACUUGUGAAAUCUCCGGGCUUAACCCGGAGCGGCCAAGUGAUACUGUCGUGCUAGAGUGCGGAAGGGGCUACUGGAAUUCUCGGUGUAGCGGUGAAAUGCGUAGAUAUCGAGAGGAACACCUGCGGCGAAGGCGGGUAGCUGGGCCGACACUGACGCUGAGGCGCGAAAGCCAGGGGAGCGAACGGG
rnacentral:rRNA from 1 species